GAGCAGCUGGCAGGAUGGGGGCUGCGGCCGCGUGUCUGUCACCUGGUUAUGCUUUGGGGCUCACCGCAUUGGACUGAGAUCACUGGAGAGGAUCUGGGAGACUGCAGAAGGGCAGUGUGCAACAGACAGAGCUCUCCACUAUUGUAGAUGGGGCGCUGGAUAUGCUGCCUUUGCUCCAGAGUUGCAGAUUGGUUGAUGCUGCUCCUGGUUUUGGCUCGUAGCUCUAACCCUUCCGCAGCAGCAACAGCUUCGCCGUCUGCGCCCCACGUCAGACCCAGCUACAGCUUUGGCCGCACUUUCCUGGGACUUGAUAAAUGCAACGCCUGCAUUGGGACGUCCAUUUGCAAGAAGUUCUUUAAGGAGGAAAUAAGGUUUGACACCUGGCUUUCUUCUCAUUUAAAGCUGCCCCCCAGCUACCUGCUCAGCUACUUGGGCAACUACACCGAUGAUACCCAGAGCUGGAGGAUGGUUGACAUCACCCGCCUGACCACCAAGUACCAGCAUGACCGGGCUGACCAGCGCAUCUGCACCUCCCUGCUGAAGACCAAAACAUGCAGCCUAGAGCAGGCCCUGCGCCGCACCCAUCGCUUCCAGAAGUGGCUGAGGGCCAAGCGCCUCACGCCCGACCUGGUGCAGGGUCUGUCCAGCCCCUUGCUGCGCUGCCCAUCCCAGCGUCUUCUGGACCGGAUUGUGCGGCGCUACGCUGAAGUGCCAGAUGCUGGCAGCAUCUACAUGGACCACCUCACCGAGCAGGACAAGCUGCGCCUCCUGUACACACUGUCAGUGAAUUCACACCCUAUCCUCUUACAGAUCUUCCCUGAUGUGGAAGGGUGGCCCUUCCCACGGUAUCUGGGCUCCUGUGGGCGGCUGGUGGUCAGCGCCAGCACCCGGCCUCUGAGCGACUUCUUCAGGGCAGCCCCUGAGGUGGCAGCUGACCUGGCCCUCCAGCUCCUCGCCGUCCUCCGCUCCAUGGGCAACAACGACCUCAACUAUUUCUUCUACUUCACCCGUGUGGACGUUGGCACCUUUGGCGUGUUCAGCAACGGGCAUCUGUUCAUCCGGGAUGGCAGCACGCUGGGCAUCAUCGACAAGGAGGAAGGGAGCCAACCAAUGGAUGGCCAACAGGACUAUAAGGAUAUCUUUAGCUGUUUGACCAUGGACUGCCAGUCUGCAUUUGUGUCCUGUAACUCCAUCAGAGAGAAGCAGAGCCUUGUCUUGGUGUGUCAAGAGCUUUUACCUAAGCUCCUGAAGGGGAAGUUCCUGCCACCUGUACAGGAGAAAAUAGACAGCUUCCUACAGCACUGCGUAGAGGGCCUCACUGAUGACCAGGAUGUCAAUGAGGCAAUGGCAAAGCUGGCACAUCUCCUGAAGCCUCUACAGUCUUGUGAUUCACGUUUUGCCUACCGCUACCCGGACUGCAAAUACAGUGACAAAUACUGAUGGUUUUGAAGGAAGGCUGCCCAAGAAGGAUUGGGCAGGGUCAUCCCCAAGCAGUGUAAGAAGAAGGAACCAGAGUAGCUGAAAGGAGCUGCACCAAUUCCGGAGCUUCCUCACAGAGAUGAAGGAGUUGGGAACAGAGUGCACAUAGGAUUUAUUGUUCAUCUCCCACAGAUGCAUUUGUUACUUGGGAUGUUAGAUGUGAUGUAAGGCUUAUGGAUUAUAAACAUUAUCAUGAGGGACAGAGACUACAGGAUUAAUAAAUCUUCUUCAUGUAUUUUGGCCUUGGAAGAGUUUUCCAUGCCAUCCAUUAAAGAGAAGACCUCUGAAGGCAAUGUGCUCACAGCUAGCUAGAUAGCAGAAUUUUAUUGCCAAGUACAAUUUCCUGAUCAAGAUGAUUUAUACAUGAUGUGAGAUGGAUGGAAGCAUUUAAGACUUUAUUUGUGGAGAUUUUUAAUGCUCUAAAAACCAUAGACAAACUGAGCCACCUGAUGAGUUCCUUACCUUCAUUCAUCACAGAUCACCCAAUGUCUCUUGAGACCUAAUUUUUCUAAUCCUACAAUAUACUUACUUUUAGUCUUUUCCAAGUUAAUUGGCAGUAAUUGGAGUCUAAUAAGUGUUCUUGUUUACAGGUUAAAAACAAACCAAAAUAACAACAAAAAAACAACUCUUAGAUGUGGCUGUCCAGAAGACACUUUCAUACUUUUCUCUCUAAAGCAAACAGGAAGGAAGCAUUUAAACAAAACCAUUCAAAUGGGAAAAUUACCUUAAGAAGAGAAACAACAUGGCCAGAGGUUGAGAUAUUAGUUUACCCUAGCAGUGAAACCAUCUGAACAUCUAUCCCUACUUCCUCAUUCAUUUGCUUUUUAAAGGAGAAAUUGGAAGUCAGUCCCAAAGGAUUGACUCAGGUACCUACAAUUUGAGGUGGUGGACUCGUGUUUUCACACAGAAUUAGACACAUGUGCCUUGUUUUCUGCAGAAAGGUUGCAGAAGUUGCAGAAUAGAAAAACACGGUUUGCCUAGAAUCAAAGAAUGCCUGAAGUUUGAAGAGACAUCUAGAGGUAACCAGGUCCAACCCCUGCUCCAGCAGGCACACCAAAGGUAGGGUGUCCAGGUGGCUUCUGAACAUCUCCAAAGAGGAGACUCCACAACCCCUGUGGCAGCCUGUGCCUGUGCUCCAUCACCUGCAUAGUGCUGCUGUUCAGAUGGAGCAUCCUGCUUUCUGGUUUGUGCCCACUGCCUUUCGUCAUGUCACUGGUAACCAUCUAAUCUGUGUUGAUCCCCAACCCACGAGUUCUUUGUGAGGUGUCAGAGAAACACACUAAACUUUCCCUAUGUUCAAGGGGGCUACUUCUCUUCUGGUAUUCAGGCAUGCAGGAGUCACCGACCAUAUUUGACUAAGCUGAGUCAGAAGCUAAAUGUUCUGGAUCCCCCUGAGAAAUCAUUUGCAAACGGUGGGUCUGCGGAAAGGUCUUCACUGUCAACUCAUGACUCAGGUCUGAGCCAGCACCAGGCAAAAGGACUUAUGGGCUUUGAGUGGACCCUGACAUCCUGUGAUCCUAAAAUGCCACGUGGAGGAAUGGAGGAGCCAUGGCCUUACUCUGCUGCUGGACCCAGGUGGCAAAAUGUCAGCAGGAGUUUUAUGGCACGUAGGGUCUACUUUCACACAACUUGCUUAAAAGUUGUUGAAGUUGAGAAGGGUGUCCCUACUUCCUUCAGUAGGCUUCUAUAUAAUUUUUUUUUUCAAAUGUGAUUAAAAAUAUCUGGAUCGUGGAUUUAAAAAUACAAAAGCAGCAGAAGCUGCAGUGAUCAGCAGUUUCUCUUCAGACAUAGAUUACAAAGGCCAAGCCUAUGUAAGACCAUGACUAAUAUGCCAGCCAUAGAAUCAGUCCAUGGCUCAGAAAGUAAUAAUUUUCCUAAACUAAAUCUUAUUUCCCUGUAUUUCUCUGGCCUUCUUUUUUCACUGCCAAUUUUUUACUUUAAUAUUUUCUUUUCUCUUGGCAGUCAGACCCUGGAAUCAGUGCCCACCCUGUCUGCCAGCUUCAGUCAGGCCUUGAAAUGCGAGUAGGCCACAAUCCAAAAGGAUGUGAAAUUAAUUUAUAAAUGGCAAUUAUUUUAAACCUAAUCCUCCCCAAAAGAACUCUCGAGUAAUUUUUUCCUCUCUGCAUUUGAGUUAUUUCUGACAGCGGCUUUGUGCAAGCCUUUGCAAACUGUUCCUGCUAACAACGUAGAGCAUUCCAGCCCUGCUGGUUUCUGCAACAAGAAGAGAAACUGCCUUGGUCCUCUACCAGUCCUACAUGCAGUCUGAAUGCUUCCUAUAUCUCUGCGGUCUUUAUGUCCAUGUGUUUAUUAGGUGUCUCUCUUGCUGUAUAAUAUCCUGCAUUUUUUUUAAGCUUUUAUGUCAAGAGAGUCUUGGUUCAUAAAACUGUAUUUUCUGCCA